rnacentral:rRNA from 1 species
GCAGUAGCCACGGGAAUACAGAGGGUGCGAGCGUUAAUCGGAUUUACUGGGCGUAAAGCGUGCGUAGGCGGCUUUUUAAGUCGGAUGUGAAAUCCCUGAGCUUAACUUAGGAAUUGCAUUCGAUACUGGGAAGCUAGAGUAUGGGAGAGGAUGGUAGAAUUCCAGGUGUAGCGUUGAAAUGCGUAGAGAUCUGGAGGAAUACCGAUGGCGAAGGCAGCCAUCUGGCCUAAUACUGACGCUGAGGUACGAAAGCAUGGGGAGCAAACAGGAUUAGAUACCCCAGUAGUCCCUGUCUCUUAUAA